CCCUUAGAUGUUCUGGGCCGCACGCGCGCUACACUGACGAAUGCAACGAGCUUAUAACCUUGGCCGAAAGGUCUGGGUAAUCUCCAAAUUUCGUCGUGAUGGGGAUAGAUUAUUGCAAUUAUUAAUCUUCAACGAGGAAUGCCUAGUAAGCGCAAGUCAUCAGCUUGCGUUGAUUACGUCCCUGCCCUUUGUACACACCGCCUGUCGCUCCUACCGAUUGAAUGGUCCGGUGAAGCGUUCGGACCGUGGCCUUUGGACGGUUCGCCGUCUGUUGGCUGCGGGAAGUUCGUUAAACCUUAUCAUUUAGAGGAAGGAGAANUCGUANCA
rnacentral:rRNA from 1 species